GCGGAAGUGGCGAAAUUGGCAGACGCACCAUCUUGAGGGGGUGGCGCCCACAAGGCAUGCGGGUUCAAGUCCCGCCUUCCGCA
rnacentral:tRNA from 2 species